UCGAGUGGCGAACGGGUGAGUAACACGUGGGUGAUCUGCCCUGCACUUUGGGAUAAGCCUGGGAAACUGGGUCUAAUACCGGAUAGGACCGCGCCAUGCAUGUGGUGUGGUGGAAAGCUAUUUGCGGUGUGGGAUGGGCCCGCGGCCUAUCAGCUUGUUGGUGGGGUGAUGGCCUACCAAGGCGACGACGGGUAGCCGGCCUGAGAGGGUGUCCGGCCACACUGGGACUGAGAUACGGCCCAGACUCCUACGGGAGGCAGCAGUGGGGAAUAUUGCACAAUGGGCGCAAGCCUGAUGCAGCGACGCCGCGUGGGGGAUGACGGCCUUCGGGUUGUAAACCUCUUUCACCAUCGGCGAAGCCUUCAGCUUUUGUUGGGGGUGACGGUAGGUGGAGAAGAAGCACCGGCCAACUACGUGCCAGCAGCCGCGGUAAUACGUAGGGUGCGAGCGUUGUCCGGAAUUACUGGGCGUAAAGAGCUCGUAGGUGGUUUGUCGCGUUGUUCGUGAAAUUCCCUGGCUUAACUGGGGGCGUGCGGGCGAUACGGGCAGACUGGAGUACUGCAGGGGAGACUGGAAUUCCUGGUGUAGCGGUGGAAUGCGCAGAUAUCAGGAGGAACACCGGUGGCGAAGGCGGGUCUCUGGGCAGUAACUGACGCUGAGGAGCGAAAGCGUGGGGAGCGAACAGGAUUAGAUACCCUGGUAGUCCACGCCGUAAACGGUGGGUAC
rnacentral:rRNA from 1 species